rnacentral:misc_RNA from 1 species
AACUUUUGGCAACGGAUCUCUUGGCUCUCGCAUCGAUGAAGAACGCAGCGAAAUGCGAUAAGUAAUGUGAAUUGCAGAAUUGAGUGAAUCAUCGAAUCUUUGAACGCACCUUGCACUCUCUGGUAUUCCGGAGAGUACGCCUGUUCGAGUGUCAUGAAACUCUCAAGCAGAGAUAGCUUUGUUGCUGUUUUUGUUUGGAUUUGGACUUUGCUGUGCCAAUGCGGCUGGUCUUAAAUGCAUUAGCUGGUCCUUAUAUGAGGGAUUUGGUUUUACUCAGCGUGGUAAUUAUCUAACGUUGAGGACAGUCUUAGGACUGGCCAGAGCUUAUAUCUGGAGUGCUUCUAAUUGUCACUCGGGACAUACUGUUCAAUUGUCUGAUCUCGGAUCAGGUGGGAUUACCCGCUGAACUUAAGCAUAUCAAUAAGCGGAGGCU